rnacentral:rRNA from 1 species
AUUGAACGCUGGCGGCAGGCUUAACACAUGCAAGUCGAGCGGAGUGAUGGUGCUUGCACUAUCACUUAGCGGCGGACGGGUGAGUAAUGCUUAGGAAUCUGCCUAUUAGUGGGGGACGACAUCUCGAAAGGGAUGCUAAUACCGCAUACGUCCUACGGGAGAAAGCAGGGGAUCACUUGUGACCUUGCGCUAAUAGAUGAGCCUAAGUCGGAUUAGCUAGUUGGUGGGGUAAAGGCCUACCAAGGCGACGAUCUGUAGCGGGUCUGAGAGGAUGAUCCGACACACUGGGACUGAGACACGGCCCAGACUCCUACGGGAGGCAGCAGUGGGGAAUAUUGGACAAUGGGGGGAACCCUGAUCCAGCCAUGCCGCGUGUGUGAAGAAGGCCUUAUGGUUGUAAAGCACUUUAAGCGAGGAGGAGGCUCUUUUGGUUAAUACCCAAGAUGAGUGGACGUUACUCGCAGAAUAAGCACCGGCUAACUCUGUGCCAGCAGCCGCAGUAAUAC